rnacentral:rRNA from 1 species
GGCAUAUACGGGCGAGGCAGCUGGUGGAUAGGGAGGGCGCUAGGGUUAUCCGGAAUGAUGUGGCGUAAAGAGCCUGUAGGUGGGUCGUGGGGUCUGGUGUGAAAGCCCAUCGCGUGACGGUGGGUCUGCGCCGGGUACGGGCGGGCGAGAGUGCAGUAGGGGAGACUGGAAUUCCCGGUGUAACGGUGGAAUGUGUAGAUAUCGGGAAGAACACCAAUGGCGAAGGCAGGUCUCUGGGCUGUUACUGACGCUGAGAAGCGAAAGCGUGGGGAGCGAACAGGAUUUGAUACCCGAGUAGUC